rnacentral:rRNA from 1 species
GGGAAUUUUCCGCAAUGGGCGAAAGCCUGACGGAGCAACGCCGCGUGAGGGAUGAAGGCCUCUGGGCUGUAAACCUCUUUUCUCAAGGAAGAAGACCUGACGGUACUUGAGGAAUAAGCCNCNGNUUAAUUCCGUGCCAGCAGCCGCGGUAAUACGGGAGUGGCAAGCGUUAUCCGGAAUUAUUGGGCGUAAAGCGUCCGCAGGCGGCCUUGUAAGUCUGUUGUUAAAGCGUGGAGCUCAACUCCAUUUGAGCAAUGGAAACUACAAGGCUUGAGUGUGGUAGGGGCAGAGGGAAUUCCCGGUGUAGCGGUGAAAUGCGUAGAUAUCGGGAAGAACACCAGUGGCGAAGGCGCUCUGCUGGGCCAUAACUGACGCUCAUGGACGAAAGCCAGGGGAGCGAAAGGGAUUAGAUACCCCUGUAGUCA